rnacentral:lncRNA from 1 species
CUGAGGCUAGUAACAGAAUCGGUUUCCUAGGCUUGUGAAACGGAGGUGAAUUAACACCCAGAAAGCGCUUAGGAUGAUGCCUGGCUUGUCGUAACUGCUACUAAGUGUCACUGAUUGUUGUAUCCUCCCCACCAUCGGUACCACUGCUGUUACUCCAGGGAGCUCUCAGCCCACGAGGGGCCAGUGGGACCCAUCACACCCUGGAGAGGUUGUGACCCUUGUGGGCUGAGUCUGCUUGGGAGGGGUAAUGGCAAAGCCCUUCUGUUUCUGCUGCGGCUAUCCCCCCGCCCCCCGCCAGGCACCUAACUGCCCCAAGGGCACAUAAGGGCACAUGCCAGCCUCGAAGCCCAAAGCCCCCAGGGUCCCGGGUGAGGACUGGCCUACAGUCCCUGCCUGUGUGAGGUCCACCAGCCACUCGGCUGGCGUUCUCCUCACCUGGUCUCAUCACCAGACUCUCCAGGAGGAGACGCUGCAGCAUUGCAGACUCCACACUGGCCGCCAGAGCCAGCAGCCCUGUGUUGGGAUGACCGGGUUGGGAUUAUUCUUCCCCCAUCCCUCUGCCCGGAGGCCACACAGGCUCCAGAUGGGAAGGCUGGGCUCACACCUGGAUGGCUUCCCUCCUGUAUGGGAGUCCCCUCCAGCCCCUUGACCUUGGCUGCUCUCUCCCUUCUCCCCACUCAUGCCAGCCCCCCUAGUCCUCACCCCCCAACACUGCCAUGUCCAGUUCUACUGUUCUUCAGGGUCUAUUGUAGCCCCCUCCUCCUCCAAGGCCCCUCCCUGGCGUCUCCAAGUCCUCUGUUUCCAUUGCUCCCACCUCUGGGGAUCUGGGUAGCAUUAUGGUGGAUUCUGUCUUAUCUAACCCCACAGUACUGGUAGUCAUGUUUUAAAAGAAUAGAACAAGCUUUUUAAGUUUUUCUCUUGAGUUAAAAAUGAUUCGGGAGUUCCUGUCUUGACGCAGCGGAAACGAAUCCGACUAGGAACCAUGAGGUUGCGGGUUCGAUCCCUGGCCUUGCUCAGUGGGUUAAGGAUCCGGCAUUGCCAUGAGCUGUGGUGUAGGUCGCAGAUGUGGCUCAGGUCUGGUGUUGCUGUGGCUGUUACAUAUGGAGGUUCCCAGGCCGGCAGCUGCAGCUCCAAUUCGACCCCUAGCCUGGGAACCUCCAUAUGCUGCAGGUGCGGCCAUUAAAAUAAAUAAAUAAAUAAAAUAAAAGAUCCAGUUGAUUUUAAAAAUUCAACCAUCUGGAGACUGUGGAAAGAAGAGGCGGGAGGACUGGCCAUCCCAGUAUAUGGAGAUGACCUACCUGGGUUUGCAGCUUCGUGGCCAGCCUGUGGGCAGAGGGUACCUGUGAACACACCCACUUAUCCAGAGUUUGCUCUGUGCCAGGUUCCAGGCUAAGUCUCCAUGUCUUUCUCUUUAAAUCCUAAACCCCAUGAGGCAGAUGCCGUUGCUCAGAGAGGCCCCGUCCGUCAUCCUUAGUCACACAGCUGGUAAAUGGAGGAGGUGACAUUAGACCGCCCCCGGGCGUGUGGCAGCCUGAACAGUCAUCUACACACUUUUGUGCCGUUCCCUAGGCUAUUUUUAUUUCGUUUCACUCAAAAGAUAGCAGGACAGCUGUUCCAUUCUUGGGCCCUCCCUGGGAGCUGGUCUGUCUCCCCACAGGGCAGUCAGGCCGAGGAGCUGAGGAGACGUUUGCUGAAGGGAUGGACAGAAGGAUAGACGGAUGCCCGGGCCAGUUUCCGUCCAAGACCUCCCUGGCUUCUGUCCCUUUCCUUCCUAUUCAGACAUUAAACAAAGCCUUCUUGGGUGGCCUGAGGGAGUCUCCUCAGCAGCAGCCAGGCUGUGAAUGGGACGCACUGGGGCUCUCAUAAAGGAAGACGUUUCCAGCCCUGGGUGUGGUGGCUUGGGUACCAUGUGACUGGCCCUCCUGGCCACCUGGCCAGAGGCACUGAGCACCUUCCCUCGGGAAGCCACCCUCCCGCCACCCUCUCACCCCUCAGUUCCUUGGGGACCCUCCCCCCAAAGAAUCGAGACCCAGUGCCAAAUAGCUUAAAUGCUGAAGAACUGUAUUCUUUGUCCUAGCACAUGGGCCCAAGGUAGGGCAGCUCCAGGGCUGGUUCUUUUAGGGCUCAGAGGCGUCAUCCCGGACCCAACCCCGUUCCAUCCAGUUCCCCAGGUGGGCCCAGGGGAGAUUCCCCUCUCCAGGAGGGCAACACGGGCAGGGAGCACUUCCUGAGAGCUGUCUUGUCUUUUUCCCCCUCAUCAAAGAAAACCUCUCCCGGAAGCCUCCUACAGAUGUUUCCUCAGGUCUCAUUGGCCAGAAGUGUACAGCAUGCUUUCGCCUAAACCAAUCACUGGUGAGGGGGGCUGAGCCCACCUGACUGGCUGGGUCCAAUCAGGACUUGUCCUGUGGGGUUGAGGUGCCCCUGAAGCACUCGGUCAGUGGGAGGUGGGCAUCUGGGCCACAUCAGGGCUGCGCAGAGGGGAAGGAGGAGAGGAGGGGAGCGUAGAGGUGACCGAGAGGUUCUCCUUCAGUCCUUGUCAUAAUUUCCUGACUUUAUAGAAGAGGGGAAGUAAAAAACUCGGAGGAGGUCCCGUUGUGGCUCAGCAGGUUAAGAACCUGACUAGUAUCUGUGAGGAUGUGGGUUGGAUCCCUGGCCUUGCUCAUUGGGUGAAGGAUCCAGCAUUGCCACCAGCUGCAGUGUAGGUAGUGGACGUGGCUCAGAUCCUGUGUUGUCGUGGCUGUAGCGGUGGCAGCUGUAGCUCCAAUUUGACCCCCCUCUAGCUCCGAAACUUCCAUGUGUCAUGGGUAUAGCCGUAAAAAGAAAAUUUAAAAAAGAUGAGAAGUUGAAUAACCCUCUAGCGUCACACUCCAGGGUCCCCAAGCCACAGGUCCCUAAUGAAGCCACACUGGAUGGAGCCAUCUGCCGCCCAGCCUUCCACUCCAUCGAUUUCUCUCCUUCUUCUCUUUAUCUCCCUAACCCCUUGCCCACCGCAGACAUCCUUUCAAUGAAUAAGGGCUCCAAUGCCCUUAUUUUCCAAAUGGGGAAACAGGCCCAGACAGGGAGGGGUCUCCCCAGGACCAUUCUGUGAGGUCACUGAUGGCAGAGCUGGGACGAGACUGAGGGUCAAGGGAAGCACAGCAUCCCUGAGGCUCACGACCCUGCUUUGCACCUCAGCCCGUGCUGCAAGCAGCCCCUCAGCUUCCCUGCUGAGUGGCUGCCCCCUACCCACUCUGCCAGGUGGGACACUCUACAGACUAUGGUGUCCGUUUCUCAGUCACAGUCUCGCUCGAGCCUCGCAGUGGUCCUGCGAGCUGGUCCGAGUGCACUGAGGAUGUGGAAACUGAGGCCCAGAGAGGAAGACGGUCUGCGGCCACGCCACCCUCAACGCGCCGGAUCUGGUCUGACCUCAGAGGCUAAGCAGGGUCGGGCCUGGGUUGUACUCGGAUGGGAGAGGUAGUGUGACUUGCCCAGGCUCACGCCGCGGGAACGUGCUGAAGCCCCGGCAGAGCCGGCUUUGCCGCCGCGAGACCUGGGUUUAAAGCUCUGCGGUCAUCAUCUUGAAAUUCCAGAUGCAUUUUAAACAGGGGGCCCGCUGUCUCCAUCUGUACUGGCCCCGCCAAUCGUGAAGCUGACCCUGAGUCCCCAACCUGCUGACUCCUCGGGGGGCUUCGUCCAAGGUGCUCUUCCCCACCCACUUGUGGUGUAGUCGGGGCAAGUCUGAUUCCAUGGGACAGCCCUUCCCAGGGAGGAGAGCAGGCUUCCAAGGCCACCGCCAGGACCACUGACAGGUGCCCCUCUCUGUCCUUGUCCCCAGCCUGACUUCCCCUCCCCUCUUCUCCCUCGAAGAAUUAAUGGAUGAGCCCAUGGCUGCCUCCCCCACGCCCCCACCCCCGUGCCCUUUGUCCCUUGGGUGGUGGGGGCUCCAGAAUAUAGGGCUCCAUUGUGUGCGGACACCAGGCAGCUGGGCUGCCUGGAAAAGUGGAUAAACAAGCCGCCUGAGCACGUGGCCAUGAGGCCCGAGGAGGGGGCAGGACCUCACACGGAGGUGGGCGUGGAUUCCAAUCGGACCCACCCUGGGCUGAGGCCGGCCUGGCUCCCCCUGUAAGAUGGAAUGACCCUGGGAGCUCUGUUGUGGCUCAGCGGUAACCAACCCGACUAGUAUCCAUGAGGAUGCGGCUCCGUCCCUGGCCUCGCUCAGUGGGUUAAGGAUCCGGCCUUACUGAGAGCGGUGGUGUAGGUCGCAGACGCGGCUUGGAGCUGGCAUUGCUGUGGCUGUGGUGUCGGCUGGUGGCUGUAGCUCCGAUUCAACCCCUAGCCUGGGAACCUCCGUCUGCUGCAUGCGUGGCCCUAAAAAGACAAAACAAACUAACCAAAAAGAGGUGGAAUGACCGGGCUCUUUCAUGGGGCUACCAGGAGGCCAGAAGAAGUGAGUCUUGGGAAGAAGUGCUCAAAAUAACUCCUGACCCCUGGAACGUGCCCCUCAGCUGGGAGCGGUGGCACUGGCAACUGUCACUGCUCUGUCGGUGCCUCCAGACCUUCCCCGUCAAGGGCAGCCUCCUGGGCGUGGCUUCUGAGCCCUUCUCCUGCAGAGUCCGGUCCCUCUGUCCCCGGCCUCAUGCUCCAUGAUGCCUCCCUCCCACAUGCCCACCUCCCGGGCCUCUGGCACCCGAGCUCUUGCCCCAUCCCAGCCCGCUCGCUUUGCUCCUUCCCUGCCAGCUGCCUCCUCUCCCCCCAGCAGAACACAGUCCAGCCAGUCCUGGGAGGCAGGAAGCCCCGGUCCAGGUUCCUUACCCCAGUGUCCCCACAGGUGUCCCUCGAGAGGACUCAGCCCCAGGGAGUCUCCCCCCCAGAAGCACUUUGAAGGUGGUCCAGGCUCUGCGGGGUCAGGGGGACUGUGGCGACUCCCAGCAAUGGUCUGGGGCAGCAGAGGUGGGCACGGGCUGAACAGCUGCCUGAACUGGAAGCACCGCCCGGCCUGUUCUCCAUGCUCCCACCCCCCCCAGCUCUUAGGGGCCCCUGGUCCUGGCCCUUUGGUUAGAAAUCUGAGGUUUGGGCCACCCUGUGCUAUUCCACAGUGCCAGUGACUGGCCUCCAGCAGGAUGCCAGGGUGAGAGGAAAAAGAGAGAAACCAGUAACAGGACCCCCCUUCCCCAUUUUGACCACAGGGACCCUUUUUUCCAAGUUUCUCAUUCCACAGAGAAAGGUUUCCUCCUCUCAGAGCUUUAGGCGCCGCCUGGCUGCUGCUACCACCCACCUCUGAGGCUGCGCCUUGCCCUGGGGUAGGGCUGGGAGGGAUUUUAAAAAGACCAAAGCGGCAUUUCUCCCACUCUCUCUGUCCCAAAGGGGCCCCCUUCCCUGGCUUCUCAUCAAAAUGAGAGUUUCUUUGGGAGUUCCCAUUGUGGUGCAGUGGAAACGAAUCUGACUGGUAACCAUGAGGUUGCAGGUUCAAUCCCUGGCAUCACGCAGUGGGUCAGGGGUCCAGCAUUGUCGUGAGCUGUGGUGUGGCUCGGAUCCUGCUUUGCUGUGGCUGUGGUACAGGCUGGCAGCUGUAGCUCUGAUUCAACCCCUAGCCUGAGAACUUCCAUAUGAAGCAGGGUGACCCUAAAAAGCCAAAAACAGAAGAAAACAAAACAAAACAAAAAAACACACAAAAGUGUCUUUUGGAGCUUUUUCUGUUCACACCUGCUAUGCAGUUCUUGAUGACACCUUGCUUCCCACACGCCCACCUACCUGAGUCUCAGCUGGAAAAUAUGUGAGAAAAAAUAAAUUAGGGGACUUAGCACCAUCUACAUCUUACUUCAAGUUUUUUAAUUUGUUUGCUUUUAUUUUUUGUUGUUGUUUGUUCAAGUUUUAAUUUUCCUCCCAAUUUACCUGCUACAAUUUACAUUUGGAGUCCUUGUACAGUUGCUUUAUAUAUUCUGUCCAGAGUUUUUAGUUCUGAUCAGUGGAACAGACAGAGUGUGUUGUACUGACUCCAUCUUAACCUGAACCAGAAGCCUUUUGGAUCUUGGUGAUUUAUUUUAAACAUUUAAGUCUGUCUGCACCUGCACUUGGAAUGCUAGUUAGACCUGGGCUUUAGCAGCACAACAUUGGAACUUGUGCUUUUUCCUUUAAAUAUUCUAAUUCUUUUAUUUAUUGAGGUUGUGCCCAUGGCAUGCAAAUGUUCCCUGCCAGGGCUGGAAGCGGCACCACAGCGGUCACCCAAACCACAGCAGUGCUGAGUCCUCCAUCACUAGGCCACCAGGCACUCCCCUCCUUCAAAUAUUCAAGUGCUUGGAGUCCCUGCUGUGACACAACAGAAUCAGUGGCGUUCGAUCCCCAGCCUGGCACAAUGGGCUCGGGAUCCAGUGUUGCUGAAGCUGUGGCAGCAUAGGUCACAGCUGUAGCUUGGAUUUUAGAUCUGAUCCCUGGCCUGGGAACUCCAUAUGCCACAGGGUGGCCAGAAAAAAAAA